ACUCAAAGGAAUAGACGGGGGCCCGCACAAGCGGUGGAACAUGUGGUUUAAUUCGAUGCUACGCGAAGAACCUCACCAGGGUUUGACAUACAGGAAGUAGUGAACUGAAAGGGGAACGACCUGUCAAAUCAGGAGCCUGUACAGGUGCUGCAUGGCUGUCGUCAGCUCGUGUCGUGAGAUGUUGGGUUAAGUCCCGCAACGAGCGCAACCAUUUUCUCUUGUUGCCACCUCCUAUUGUCGAAAGACAGUGGGGGAGCACUCUAGAGAGACUGCCUGGGAUAACCAGGAGGAAGGUGGAGAUGACGUCAAGUCAGUACGGCCUUUAUGCCCUGGGCUACACACGUGUUACAAUGGGAAGUACAGAGGGUUGCCAACCCGCGAGGGGGAGCUAAUCUCUAAAAACUUCCCUCAGUUCAGAUUGAAGUCUGCAAUCCGACUUCAUGAAGCCGGAAUCGCUAGUAAUGGCAGAUCAGCACGCUGCCGUGAAUACGUUCCCGGGCCUUGCACACACCGCCCGU
rnacentral:rRNA from 1 species